UACGUAGGGUGCGAGCGUUAAUCGGAAUUACUGGGCGUAAAGCGUGCGCAGGCGGUUUGCUAAGACAGGUGUGAAAGCCCCGGGCUUAACCUGGGAAUUGCGCUUGUGACUGGCAGACUGGAGUGUGGCAGAGGGAGGUGGAAUUCCACGUGUAGCAGUGAAAUGCGUAGAGAUGUGGAGGAACACCUGCGGUGUAGACGGCUUACUGGACCGUAACUGACGCUGAGGCACGAAAGCGUGGGGAGCAAACAGG
rnacentral:rRNA from 1 species